UACGAAGGGGGCUAGCGUUGCUCGGAUUGACUGGGCGUAAAGGGCGCGUAGGCGGUUCGUACAGUCAGACGUGAAAUCCCUCGGCUUAACCGGGGAACUGCGUCUGAUACUGGAUGGCUAGAGGUUGGGGAGAGGGAUGCGGAAUUCCAGGUGUAGCGGUGAAAUGCGUAGAUAUCUGGAGGAACACCGGUGGCGAAGGCGGCAUCCUGGACCAAUUCUGGACGCUGAUGAGCGGAAAGCCAGGGGAGCAAACGGG
rnacentral:rRNA from 1 species